CAAAAAAUUGUGUAUAUCUUCGUGUAGAUGAUUUAUCCUCAUUUUCUUAUAAUAAAACAAAAAAUGUUAUUAAACUUUAGGAUUUACCUGAAACUCCAAACUCUUUACAGAAGUUCAAUGUUUGUUCUGAGAAGUUGAAUAAACAAAUUUAUUAAAUGUUUUACGAAAUGGUGAUAGCUUUAUCAUUAAUGGCUUUGCACAAAUGGUGAUAGCUUUAUCAUUAAUGGCUUUGCACAGAAUUUCGGCAGAUUUUGUCUCAGUAAAACUUUUGAUGUAAAACUGAUGUAAAAUGCAAAAUUUUUUUGUUUAUGUUGAAGUUUACUGUUACUUA